GAUGAAGAACGCAGCGAAAUGCGAUAAGUAAUGUGAAUUGCAGAAUUCAGUGAAUCAUCGAAUCUUUGAACGCACCUUGCGCUCCUUGGUAUUCCGAGGAGCAUGCCUGUUUGAGUGUCAUUAAUAUAUCAACCUUCUCUUUUUUGAGUUGUUUGGAUGUGGGGGUUUGCUGGCCUCUUAAAUGAUUCAGCUCCCCUGAAAUGCAUUAGCAGAACAACCUGUUCAUUAGCGUGAUAAUUAUCUAUGCUAUUGAAUGUGAGGGCAGUUCAGCUUUCUAACCGUCCUUGGACAAUUCAUCAUUAAUGUGACCUCAAAUCAGGUAGGACUACCCGCUGAACUUAAGCAUAUCAAUAAGCGGGGGA
rnacentral:misc_RNA from 1 species